UACGAGGGGGGCGAGCGUUGUUCGGAAUUAUCGGGCGUAAGGGUGCGUAGGCGGUUUGGUAAGUCUUAUGUGAAAUCUACAGGCUCAACUUGUAGUCUGCAUGAGAAACUGCCGGGCUUGAGUAUGGGAGAGGUGAGUGGAAUUCCCGGUGUAGCGGUGAAAUGCGCAGAUAUCAGGAGGAACACCGGUGGCGAAGGCGGUUCUCUGGGCAUGUCCUGACGCUGAGGAGCGAAAGUGUGGGGAGCGAACAGG
rnacentral:rRNA from 1 species